UAAUACGGAGGAUGCAAGCGUUAUCCGGAUUCAUUGGGUUUAAAGGGUGCGCAGGCGGAUUGGUAAGUCAGGGGUGAAAUCCCACAGCUCAACUGUGGAACUGCCUUUGAUACUGUCAGUCUAGAGUAUAGUUGAAGUUGGCGGAAUGUGUCAUGUAGCGGUGAAAUGCUUAGAUAUGACACAGAACACCGAUCGCGAAGGCAGCUAGCUAAGCUAUAACUGACGCUCAUGCACGAAAGCGUGGGGAUCAAACAGGAUUAGAUACCCUGGUAGUCCACGCUGUAAACGAUGAUUACUCGAUGUUGGCGAUACACAGUCAGCGUCUGAGCGAAAGCAAUAAGUAAUCCACCUGGGGAGUACGAUCGCAAGAUUGAAACUCAAAGGAAUUGACGGGGGCCCGCACAAGCGGAGGAGCAUGUGGUUUAAUUCGAUGAUACGCGAGGAACCUUACCUGGGCUCGAACGUAAGAUGACUGUAGGUGAAAGCUUACAUCUCUUCGGAGCAUUUUACGAGGUGCUGCAUGGUUGUCGUCAGCUCGUGCCGUGGGGUGUCGGGUUAAGUCCCAUAACGAGCGCAACCCCUACCUUUAGUUGCCAUCAGGUCAUGCUGGGGACUCUAAAGGAACUGCCUACGCAAGUAGUGAGGAAGGCGGGGAUGACGUCAAAUCAGCACGGCCCUUACGUCCAGGGCUACACACGUGCUACAAUGGCCGAUACAGAGGGCAGCUACCUGGUGACAGGAUGCAAAUCUCCAAAGUCNGGUCUCAGUUCGGAUCGGAGUCUGCAACCCGACUCCGUGAAGUUGGAUUCGCUAGUAAUCGCGCAUCAGCCAUGGCGCGGUGAAUACGUUCCCGGGCCUUGUACACACCGCCCGUCAAGCCAUGGNAGCUGGGGGGACCUA
rnacentral:rRNA from 1 species